CUACGGGAGGCAGCAGUGAGGAAUAUUGGUCAAUGGACGAAAGUCUGAACCAGCCAUGCCGCGUGAAGGAUGAAGGUCCUCUGGAUUGUAAACUUCUUUUAUAAAAGAAGAAACCCCGGAUUUCUAUCCGGGUUGACGGUACUUUAUGAAUAAGCACCGGCUAACUCCGUGCCAGCAGCCGCGGUAAUACGGAGGGUGCAAGCGUUAUCCGGAUUCACUGGGUUUAAAGGGUGCGUAGGUGGGUUGGUAAGUCAGUGGUGAAAUCCCCGAGCUUAACUCGGGAACUGCCGUUGAUACUAUCAAUCUUGAAUACCGUGGAGGUCAGCGGAAUAUGUCAUGUAGCGGUGAAAUGCUUAGAUAUGACAUAGAACACCAAUUGCGAAGGCAGCUGGCUACCCGAAUAUUGACACUGAGGCACGAAAGCGUGGGGAUCAAACAGGAUUAGAUACCCUAGUAGUCC
rnacentral:rRNA from 1 species